rnacentral:pre_miRNA from 1 species
AUGACAUUAGAACCGUCGGUCUACCGAGCAAAUACACCGGCUUGGUGGAAGAUCUUCCCUUUGUUCU